rnacentral:misc_RNA from 1 species
UAAACAACAGUCAUCCUCAUCUGGCACUUCUCAUUCUAGUAAUUCCUUUGUUUAUCUAAGUCUACACCCAUUAGCCCAUGUAUAUUAGACUAUGGUGCAUCUGAUAAUAUCUCUGGUAAUAAGAACCUUUUCUCUAACCUUAGUUCCCCUUCAAUUCCCUCUAGAGUUAUACUUGCUAAUGGCACACAUGCUGUGGUUAAGGGAAUAAGAGAAGUUUGACCUCUUUCUUAUGUUUCUUUAAGUUCAGUUUUAUUUGCACCUAAAUGUCCACACAAUUUGAUUUCCAUAAGCAAAUUAACCAAAAAUUUUGAUUGCUCUGUCACUUUUAUGGCUGACUCUGUUAUUGUG